GGUUCUUUAAAAUGUGAUAUACUACCUGAAGGGACCCAUUGGCAUUCCAAACUUGCUGACUGCCUUGUCAAUCAGAUAUGGAUCUGUUCCACGUUCAACAAGGAACAUAGCUGCCUGUGUGUAUGGAAAGAACAUCCUGUUAACUGCAAACCCUGUGCAGUUUCCCACCACCACUGGCGUUUUCUUGAUCUUCUUCCCAACAUCUAACAGGUCAACAAUUACUUGUGCACAUGUAUGAUUGGUCCGAACUAUUUCAAGUAGUGGCAUGACAUGUGCCGGACUGCAUCAUAAAAAUGAAUAUAGACAUGAUUCGUCUAGAGCGAGUAAAAACACUACAAGCAUAAGACUUCAUCCAAACUGCAACGGAUUAAGUAAGCACCUGAAAAAAUGUGCUCCAAUAAUCCGAUCCUGGGACUUGGUCCGCUCCCCAAUUUUGUUCAAAUCAAUGGUAGAUGUGUUGCUAGCAAGGAUACAAUGUUGAGGACAGUACUUCUCUAGAUCAGCAAAUAUUUUCUGUUUCAAAGAUAUAUUCUCAAUGACAGCCUGUCCAAGCCACCAAAAAGACAUUAAACAAAGUCAAUCACUUAGCUUGCCAUGUAGAAAACAACUUCAGCUUCACUAUGCUCAUUAUUACCUCGAUGACCAUGUCCACAUCCCUAAAGCUUUCAUAGUCAAGAGAACCCUUAAGGAGUGACAUGGUUUUCUCAAACCUUUCCUGUGUCAUCCUUCCUUUCUUUACACUGCUCUGAAGAUUAGCUGAUUAAAUUAAUGAAAUUAGUCAUAUCAAGCUUUUUUUUUCAAUUCGUUGGUAAGCAAUGUAGAGAAAUCAAUCCCCACCUUUGACCCUGCCAAGUCCAGCCUCCAAGAACUUCUCAUUUACCUCCUUGAGAAUCACUGGAUAGUUGCUGAGGAUCAAUGCAGUGGCAAUUCCAGAUCCCAUUAACCCGCCUCCAAUUAUGGCUACCUUUUUAAUCUUCCUUGGCACCAACCCACGAUCAGUAACUCCAGGAACCUGUCCAUAAGAUAUUAGAUUGGAAAGAAUCAAAAAUAGAGGAAAAGCUAAUAGUUACUAUUUUGUAAAAAAGAAAAUGAAACCAGAGUUUGGUAGUACAUAAGUCUAAAUGACAUGACUGCAUAAACACUCACAAACCUUUGUAGUUCCUCGCUGAGAAAAGAAGACAUGGAUCAAGCUUUUGGUGGUAUCCAGCUUAACCACUUGUGAGGAGAUUAGAGCCUCCUAUAAGUGACAAUGUGAUGGAAAUUCGUAAAAGGUUAGUACACUCAGGGGAAACGUUUCAAAACAUAUAAUGCAGAUACGACAAGAUAGUAAUAUACCUUUUCUAAACCAGCCCUAGAACCAGAAACAAUACCCACUUCAACAGCCUCAAGGCACAUUAAGGGGUGUUUCAGGUUGGGGGCUUGCCUGCGUGUCUGACCCUUGGCAAACUUCAGUAUCUCCCUUGCCUCUCCAAGAGGAGGCAACUUAUCAGUCUUUAAAACACUAGAAACCCAUGGUUUUUUUCUCUCGGCUAUGUCAAGAGCCCAGCGACGAGCAGCGUUUAGUAACUCGGCAGGUGGCACGACAGCAUCAACAAGGCCCAAUGAAUGACCUUGCUCAGCUUUAACCGGCUUAGAUGUCUAUAAAUUUAAACAAAAUAAAUAUCGUUACGAUUUUAAACAAAGCAGAGUAACCCUACCAUAAGAAUAAGGCACUGACGACGUACCAAAAUCAUCUCAAGGGCUUUUGUAAGACCAACAAGACGUGGAAGACGCUGUGUUCCUGCAUCAAAUCCAAAGUAGCAUAAUUAAGAAAGUAAAGAACGGAAGUGACUAGAUUCUUUCAACAUAAACAUGAAUCACAUAUCCCAUGUUUUCAGUUCUUAUGCCAAAAACAUAUGAUUGUUCCAUAGGAUUCACAGUUUCUAGCUUCUAUAUGAUCAAAAUCUGUAUUCUGCCGCAAAAACAUUAAUAAUUUGACAAUUAAGUACCUCCAAACCCAGGAAUAACACCGAGUUGCAGCUCCGGCAGACCUAACUGUGCACCAGGGGCUGAGAUCCUUGCAUGGCAAGCCUGAAACAAAAAUAAAAAAAUACAAUUGUAUCAACAUCCACCCUAAUAAAUAAUGUUCACCAGACUCGGCAGUUUCUAGAGGAGUUUUGAGUAUAUAACAUAGAAAGUCUACCAUGGCGAGCUCUAACCCUCCUCCCAAGGCAAGCCCAUCAAUGGCAGCAACAGACGGUUUUUUUGCAGCUGAAAUCCAAAGAAAUUAAUAGACCACUCAGAAAUAAUAAAUCACCAGAACCAUUGAAGGUAUUCAUUCACCUUCAAGCAAAUCGGUGAUGAUGUCAAUUGAUAUGUAUCCAGGCUUUGGCGCUUUUCCUGAGAAAAUAAGCAGUAUACAUUACUACAAACACUAAUACAAUCAGCAAAGAUACCAAGAGACACUGAAAACGUUACUUGUCCCUUUCUGAAUAUCACCAAAACCAGAUAUAUCAAAUCCACCAGAGAACCUCCCCCUCAAUAAUCUCCUUUUCCGACAGUUUUGCCAGCUGCAAGAAGCCACAACAAUCAGUCAGAGUGAGAUCUUCCCAAAUGCAAAAAUGAAGAUCUUUACCUUAGGGUCAAGGUUCACUCCUGAUACGCUCCUUGCCUUCUCGAUAUAUUUCUUAAUCUCAGGAUCAGGUUUAGCCUUUCGCUUUUCAUCAUAAAGAUAGAAACCUUUACGCGUGGCUUCACCUGAAAUCAACAGGAAAGUUCACAAGAUUUACCAAAAAUAUGUUAAAUCAAUAAAAACAUUAUAUAGCUGUCCUCUCUGAUAUACCAGCUCUCUUGUCCUCUUGCAUGAGUGGGAUAAUCAUUGAUUUGUUUGUCCUUUCUGGAAAGUUCUCGAUGAAUUGCGUAGCGGUUGCAAUCGCCACACCGAAUCCAACCAAAUCGCACAAUCUUACUCAUUCAUAUAAGGAACAAAAGUAUUAACAAAAGGUGUACGAGAGAUUCACAUGGUUCUUUAAAAUGUGAUAUACUACCUGAAGGGACCCAUUGGCAUUCCAAACUUGCUGACUGCCUUGUCAAUCAGAUAUGGAUCUGUUCCACGUUCAACAAGGAACAUAGCUGCCUGUGUGUAUGGAAAGAACAUCCUGUUAACUGCAAACCCUGUGCAGUUUCCCACCACCACUGGCGUUUUCUUGAUCUUCUUCCCAACAUCUAACAGGUCAACAAUUACUUGUGCACAUGUAUGAUUGGUCCGAACUAUUUCAAGUAGUGGCAUGACAUGUGCCGGAC
rnacentral:lncRNA from 1 species